rnacentral:rRNA from 1 species
AUGAACGCUGGCGGCGUGCCUAAUACAUGCAAGUCGAGCGAACAGACGAGGAGCUUGCUCCUCUGACGUUAGCGGCGGACGGGUGAGUAACACGUGGAUAACCUACCUAUAAGACUGGGAUAACUUCGGGAAACCGGAGCUAAUACCGGAUAAUAUAUUGAACCGCAUGGUUCAAUAGUGAAAGACGGUUUUGCUGUCACUUAUAGAUGGAUCCGCGCCGCAUUAGCUAGUUGGUAAGGUAACGGCUUACCAAGGCAACGAUGCGUAGCCGACCUGAGAGGGUGAUCGGCCACACUGGAACUGAGACACGGUCCAGACUCCUACGGGAGGCAGCAGUAGGGAAUCUUGCGCAAUGGGCGAAAGCCUGACGGAGCAACGCCGCGUGAGUGAUGAAGGUCUUCGGAUCGUAAAACUCUGUUAUUAGGGAAGAACAAAUGUGUAAGUAACUAUGCACAUCUUGACGGUACCUAAUCAGAAAGCCACGGCUAACUACGUG